UUAGAAAUGAGUAUUCGAAAUGUUUAAGACGAUCAUAUAAAUCCAUUAUCUGUUUAUACAUGGUUUGAAAUUGAUCCUUUUUAAUUUUCAGUGGUAUUUCUUCGUAUCCAAGUAAAUCGACGUCACCAGAAUCAGUUGUCAAACCUGGUGCCAAUUUCUUCCCAUCAAAUGUUAGUGCAAAAUAAUUGGAUGGAUUCGUUGAAACAACUUUCUUUACCAUGAAAUCAAAUUUACCGGGUCCUUUAAUAUCAGGUAGAUUCAGAUCUGUGUUAAAAGUCUCAAUAUGAAUAUGGCUGGGAACGGCAAAAUUGAUGAGAGCGUUGUCGGGAUCAUAAAAUCCUUUGCUUGUAUGACAUGAUUGGCCAGUGUUUUUAUAUCCAGUCAUAAACCUUUGAAAACGUCCAUGAAAUAGAAUUUUACCAAUGUACCAGAACUGCUUGGUUUCUUUAAACGGAUACCGCAUUAAUAUUGUUGUGGGUGUACUCCAAAACCUUAAAAUGUCACAAAACAAUAAAAAGCAAAUAUUUGAAAAGUCGAAUUUCUUAUUUGCUAUUAGAUUGAACAACAUUAAAAGAUACUGUAGGAAUCCAAACCUUGCUAUUUCUUUGAUAACAAUUGGUUAUAACUUAACUAUCUCAU
rnacentral:lncRNA from 1 species